rnacentral:rRNA from 1 species
GAGUUUGAUCAUGGCUCAGGACGAACGCUGGCGGCGUGCUAAUACAUGCAAGUCGAGCGCGGGAAGCAGAUUGAUUCCCUUCGGGGAUGAAUCUGUGGAACGAGCGGCGGACGGGUGAGUAACACGUGGGCAACCUGCCUGUAAGAUCGGGAUAACUCGCGGAAACGUGAGCUAAUACCGGAUAAUUCUUUUCACUGCCUGGUGAGAAGGUGAAAGGUGGCUUUCAGCUACCACUUACAGAUGGGCCCGCGGCGCAUUAGCUAGUUGGUGAGGUAAUGGCUCACCAAGGCGACGAUGCGUAGCCGACCUGAGAGGGUGAUCGGCCACACUGGGACUGAGACACGGCCCAGACUCCUACGGGAGGCAGCAGUAGGGAAUCUUCCGCAAUGGACGAAAGUCUGACGGAGCAACGCCGCGUGAGUGAUGAAGGUUUUCGGAUCGUAAAACUCUGUUGUCAGGGAAGAACAAGUAUCGUUCAAAUAGGACGGUACCUUGACGGUACCUGACCAGAAAACCCCGGCUAACUACGUGCCAGCAGCCCGCGGUAAUACGUAGGGGGCAAGCGUUGUCCGGGAAUUAUUGG